UGGGGGAUAUUGCACAAUGGGCGAAAGCCUGAUGCAGCGACGCCGCGUGGGGGAUGAAGGCCUUCGGGUUGUAAACUUCUUUUGCUCUGAACAAGGCAUGCCUUUGGGGUGCGUUGUGUGUAGGGGUUGAUUAGCGCCGGCUAACUACGUGCCAGCAGCCGCGGUAAUACGUAGGGCUGGAGCGUUUUCCGGAAUUAUUGGGCGUAAAGGGCUUGUAGGUGGCUGGUUGCGUCUGUCGUGAAAGCUCAUGGCUUAACUGUGGGUUUGCGGUGGGUACGGGCUGGCUUGAAUGCAGUAGGGGAGGCUGGAAUUCCUGGUGUAGCGGUGGAAUGCGCAGAUAUCAGGAGGAAUACCGGUGGCGAAGGCGGGUCUCUGGGCUAUUACUGACGCUGAGGAGCGAAAGCGUGGGGAGCGAACAGG
rnacentral:rRNA from 1 species